UGGGUGUAGCUUAGAGGAAAGCACAAAACCACAUCUGUGUACCAUGUGGUAUGACUCUCGGUGGUGUGUGUGUCUUGUGUGGGGGAGAGAAGCUGUAUGUGUUUAUGAAAAUGGCUCUCGGUAUCAACCCAGGAUGGGGCUGGAGAUCCUCCUUCAUCCCUGCACCCUUAUAUCACAGAGCUUUUCAGCCCUUCUCUAGCAUCUUUCCUUUGUAAGAGGAGACAUGUCUAGGUAGAAUGGAUUUGUUUCCCAUUUCAGGGAACAAACAAGAGUGCCCCAAAGAAGUUCUGAGAGGACUAUUAUCAGUGAUUGCCACAUUGAUUCAUUGGAUCAUAUAACCUUAGGGGUGUGCCUUCACUCUUUAUCUGACCUUCUUCUGGAUACAGCAAACACUUGUGGACCAGCUGCACUGAAGCAUUAAACAAGGCGACCAUCCUAUUCUAUUUCCUGUGUAUUUUCUAUAUUGCAUGUCUUCUUCCAAAGUU
rnacentral:lncRNA from 10 species